AGAAUGUCGGUGUGUGAUGGUGAAUGUCGGUGUGUGAUGGAGAAUGUCGGUGUGUGAUGGUGAAUGUCGGUGUGUGAUGGUGAAUGUUGGUGUGUGAUGGUGAAUGUCGGUGUGUGAUGGAGAAUGUCGGUGUGUGAUGGUGAAUGUUGGUGUGUGUGAUGGUGAAUGUCGGUGUGUGAUGGUGAAUGUUGGUGUGUGAUGGAGAAUGUCGGUGUGUGAUGGUGAAUGUCGGUGUGUGAUGGUGAAUGUUGGUGUGUGAUGGUGAAUGUUGGUGUUUCAUGGAGAAUGUCGGUGUGUGAUGGUGAAUGUCGGUGUGUGAUGGUGAAUGUCGGUGUGUGAUGGUGAAUGUCGGUGUGUGAUGGUGAAUGUCGGUGUGUGAUGGAGAAUGUUGGUGUGUGAUGGUGAAUGUUGGUGUGUGAUGGAGAAUGUUGGUGUGUGAUGGUGAAUGUCGGUGUGUGAUGGUGAAUGUCGGUGUGUGAUGGAGAAUGUCGGUGUUUGAUGGAGAAUGUCGGUGUGUGAUGGUGAAUGUUGGUGUGUGAUGGUGAAUGUUGGUGUGUGAUGGAGAAUGUUGGUGUGUGUGAUGGUGAAUGUCGGUGUGUGUGAUGGAGAAUGUUGGUGUGUGAUGGUGAAUGUUGGUGUGUGAUGGAGAAUGUUGGUGUGUGAUGGUGAAUGUUGGUGUGUGAUGGAGAAUGUUGGUGUGUGAUGGUGAAUGUCGGUGUGUGAUGGAGAAUGUUGGUGUUUGAUGGAGAAUGUUGGUGUGUGAUGGUGAAUGUUGGUGUGUGAUGGUGAAUGUUGGUGUGUGAUGGAGAAUGUUGGUGUUUGAUGGUGAAUGUUGGUGUUUGAUGGUGAAUGUUGGUGUUUGAUGGUGAAUGUUGAUGUUUGAUGGUGAAUAUUGGUGUGUGAUUGUGAAUGUUAGUGUAUGGUGGAGAAUGGUUGUGUGUGUCUUUGAAUGUUGGUGUGUAAGGGUAAAUGUUUUUGUGUGAUGGAAAAUGUCGGUGUUUGAUGGAGAAUGUCGGUGUGUGAUGGUGAAUGUCGGUGUGUGAUGGAGAAUGUUGGUGUGUGAUGGAGAAUGUUGGUGUUUGAUGGAGAAUGUUGGUGUGUGAUUGAGAAUGUUGGUGUGUGAUUGAGAAUGUUGGUGUGUGAUGGCGAAUGUUGGUGUGUGAUUGAGAAUGUUGGUGUGUGAUGGUGAAUGUUGGUGUGUGAUGGUGAAUGUUGGUGUGUGUGAUGGAGAAUGUUGGUGUUUGAUGGAGAAUGUUGGUGUGUGAUUGAGAAUGUUGGUGUGUGAUUGAGAAUGUUGGUGUGUGGUGGAGAAUGUUGGUGUUUGGUGGAGAUUUUUGGUGUGUGAUUGAGAAUGUUGGUGUGUGAUUGAGAAUGUUGGUGUGUGAUGGCGAAUGUUGGUGUGUGAUUGAGAAUGUUGGUGUGUGAUGGAGAAUGUUGGUGUUUGGUGGAGAUUUUUGGUGUGUGAUGGAGAAUGUUGGUGUUUCAUGGAGAAUGUUGGUGUUUGAUGGUGAAUGUUGGUGUGUGAUGGUGAAUGUUGGUGUGUGUGAUGGUGAAUGUUGGUGUGUGUGAUGGUGAAUGUCGGUGUGUGUGAUGGUGAAUGUUGGUCUGUGAUGGUGAAUGUUGGUGUGUGAUGGUGAAUGUCGGUGUGUGAUGGAGAAUGUUGGUGUGUGAUGGAGAAUGUUGGUCUGUGAUGGUGAAUGUUGGUGUGUGAUGGUGAAUGUUGGUGUGUGUGAUGGUGAAUGUUGGUGUUUGAUGGAGAAUGUUGGGGUUUGAUGGAAAAUGUUGGUGGGUGUGAUGGUGAAUGUGUGUGUGUGAUGGUGAAUGUUGGUCUGUGAUGGUGAAUGUUGGUGUGUGAUGGAGAAUGUUGGUGUGUGAUGGUGAAUGUCGGUGUGUGAUGGAGAAUGUUGGUGUUUGAUGGAGAAUGUUGGUGUGUGAUGGUGAAUGUUGGUGUGUGUGAUGGAGAAUGUUGGUGUUUGAUGGUGAAUGUUGGUGUGUGAUGGUGAAUGUUGGUGUGUGUGAUGGAGAAUGUUGGUGUGUGUGAUGGAGAAUGUUGGUGUGUGUGAUGGAGAAUGUUGGUGUGUGUGAUGGUGAAUGUUGGUGUGUGUGAUGGUGAAUGUUGGUGUGUGUGUGUGUGUGUGUGUGUGUGUGUGUGUGUGUGUGUGUGUGUGUGUGUGUGUGUGUGUGUGUGUGUGUGUGUGGUGUUGA
ensembl:lncRNA